rnacentral:rRNA from 1 species
AUUGAACGCUGGCGGCAGGCCUAACACAUGCAAGUCGAGCGGAGCGGCGGACGGGUGAGUAAUGGCUAGGAAUCUGACUGGUAGUGGGGGAUAACGUCCGGAAACGGGCGAUAAUACCGCAUACGAUUGUAUGAGCCUAGGUCGGAUUAGAUAGUGGGUGGGGUAAAGGCCUACCAAGGCGACGAUCCGUAACUGGUCUGAGGGGAUGAUCAGGCACACUGGAACGGAGACACGGUCCAGCUUCGUACGGGAGGCAGCAGUGGGGAAUAGUGGACAAUGGGCGGAGGCCUGAUCCAGCCAUGCCGCGUGUGUGAAGAAGGUCCUCGGAGUGUAAGACGCUUUAAGUUGGGAGGCGUUACCAGCAGAAUAAGCACCGGCUAACUACGUGCCAGCAGCCGCGGUAAUAC